rnacentral:tRNA from 1 species
GUAAAUAUAGUUUAACAAAAAUAUUAGAUUGUGAAUCUAAUGACAGAAGCUAAUACCUUCUUAUUUACC